rnacentral:rRNA from 1 species
AUUUGCGGCUGCCUUAACAUGCAAGUCGAACGGCAGCACGGGAGCAAUCCUGGUGGCGAGUGGCGAACGGGUGAGUAAUAUAUCGGAACGUGCCCAGUCGUGGGGGAUAACGCAGCGAAAGCUGUGCUAAUACCGCAUACGAUCUAUGGAUGAAAGCGGGGGAUCGCAAGACCUCGCGCGAUUGGAGCGGCCGAUAUCAGAUUAGCUAGUUGGCGGGGUAAAAGCCCACCAAGGCGACGAUCUGUAGCUGGUCUGAGAGGACGACCAGCCACACUGGAACUGAGACACGGUCCAGACUCCUACGGGAGGCAGCAGUGGGGAAUUUUGGACAAUGGGCGCAAGCCUGAUCCAGCAAUGCCGCGUGCAGGAUGAAGGCCUUCGGGUUGUAAACUGCUUUUGUACGGAACGAAACGGUCCUUUCUAAUACAAGGGGCUAAUGACGGUACCGUAAGAAUAAGCACCGGCUAACUACGUGCCAGCAGCCGCGGUAAUACGUAGGGUGCGAGCGUUAAUCGGAAUUACUGGGCGUAAAGCGUGCGCAGGCGGUUAUAUAAGACAGAUGUGAAAUCCCCGGGCUCAACCUGGGACCUGCAUUUGUGACUGUAUAGCUAGAGUACGGUAGAGGGGGAUGGAAUUCCGCGUGUAGCAGU